rnacentral:rRNA from 1 species
AAACCCGCGUACAUGCCACCGGGGCAUCCCGGAGGCAGGAAAGGCUUCGGCCGGACAGGGAUGGGCAUGCGGCGCAUUAGGCAGUAGGCGGGGUAACGGCCCACCUAACCGACGAUGCGUAGGGGUUCUGAGAGGAAGGUCCCCCACACUGGUACUGAGACACGGACCAGACUCCUACGGGAGGCAGCAGUGAGGAAUAUUGGUCAAUGGUCGGGAGACUGAACCAGCCAAGCCGCGUGAGGGAUGAAGGUACAGAGUAUCGUAAACCUCUUUUGUCAGGGAACAAAGGCGGGGACGUGUCCCCGGAUGAGUGUACCUGAAGAAAAAGCAUCGGCUAACUCCGUGCCAGCAGCCGCGGUAAUACGGAGGAUGCGAGCGUUAUCCGGAUUUAUUGGGUUUAAAGGGUGCGCAGGCGGUCUGUUAAGUCAGCGGUCAAAGCCCGGGGCUCAACCCCGGCCCGCCGUUGAAACUGGCAGUCUCGAGUUGGAGAGAAGUAUGCGGAAUGCGCGGUGUAGCGGUGAAAUGCAUAGAUAUCGCGCAGAACUCCGAUUGCGAAGGCAGCAUGCCGGCUCCACACUGACGCUGAGGCACGAAAGCGUGGGUAUCGAACAGGAUUAGAUACCCUGGUAGUCCACGCAGUAAACGAUGAAUGCUGGCUGUCCGGGGGGACUGACCCCUGGGUGGCGAAGC